CUACGGGUCGCAGCAGUGGGGAAUAUUGCACAAUGGAGGGAACUCUGAUGCAGCAACGCCGCGUGGAGGAUGACACAUUUCGGUGCGUAAACUCCUUUUAUAUAAGAAGAUAAUGACGGUAUUAUAUGAAUAAGCACCGGCUAACUCCGUGCCAGCAGCCGCGGUAAUACGGGGGGUGCAAGCGUUACUCGGAAUCACUGGGCGUAAAGAGCAUGUAGGCUGGUUUGUAAGUCGGAAGUGAAAUCCUAUGGCUUAACCAUAGAACUGCUUCCAAAACUACUUACCUAGAGUAUGGGAGAGGUAGAUGGAAUUUCUGGUGUAGGGGUAAAAUCCGUAGAGAUCAGAAGGAAUACCGAUUGCGAAGGCGAUCUACUGGAACAUUACUGACGCUCAGAUGCGAAAGCGUGGGGAGCAAACAGGAUUAGAUACCCCCGUAGUC
rnacentral:rRNA from 1 species